rnacentral:tRNA from 1 species
GUCUGGAUGGCGUAGUGAUCAGCGCAUCUCCUUAAUAAGCAGAAGACCCGGGUUCGAAUCCCGGUCCGGCACA